CAGGGGGUGCUAGCGUUGUUCGGAAUUACUGGGCGUAAAGGGCGCGUAGGCGGUUUAGCAAGUCAGAUGUGAAAGCCCGGGGCUUAACUCCGGAAGUGCAUUUGAAACUGCUAGGCUAGAGUGCAGUAGAGGUUAUUGGAAUUCCCAGUGUAGAGGUGAAAUUCGUAGAUAUUGGGAGGAACACCAGUGGCGAAGGCGGAUAACCGGGCUGUAACUGACGCUGAGGCGCGAAAGCGUGGGGAUCAAACAGGAUUAGAUACCCUGGUAGUCCACGCCGUAAACGAUGGAUACUCGCUGUGGCUGGUAUUGACCCCGGCCGUAGCCAAGUUAACACGAUAAGUAUCCCGCCUGGGAAGUACGGUCGCAAGAUUA
rnacentral:rRNA from 1 species